UACGGAGGAUGCGAGCGUUAUCCGGAUUUAUUGGGUUUAAAGGGUGCGUAGGCGGCCGAGUAAGUCAGCGGUGAAAUUUUGCAGCUUAACUGUAAAAUUGCCGUUGAAACUGUCGGUCUUGAGUGCAAAUGAGGUAGGCGGAAUGUGUCGUGUAGCGGUGAAAUGCAUAGAUAUGAAACAGAACACCAAUUGCGAAGGCAGCUUACUGGGAUGCAACUGACACUGAGGCACGAAGGCGUGGGGAUCAAACAGGAUUAGA
rnacentral:rRNA from 1 species